AGUCGUAUCACAUUGAAACACCUGGUCUCAUACAAUCUCUGAAGUUAAGCAAUGUUGAGCCUGGUCAGUAUCUAGAUGGAUGACUACUAGAGAAUACCAGGUACUGUAAG